CAGUCUUUUGCAAACUCAUGGCAAAUGCAUAAUAUAACCAGUCUUUUGCAAACUCAUGGUAAAUGCAUAAUAUAACUAAGCAGAUAAUGAGACAGCCACUCCGGUCUUCUUCAGAACAGCACUUCCUCGAUCAUGAAGCUUGGGUGCUCACCCUUGUUCCCCUUCAUAGAUAUCACCCCGUAUGCAAUCUAUUUCUUAAGAUAAUCCAGCUUGUACUGCAAUACAGUUCAAUUCCAGGAGUUAGCACCUAUAAAACACAAUCAACUUUUUACAACAUCACUCGAUUUGUUCUCCAACUAUAUACUCACCAUUGUAGUACCUCCAGUAGUGCGCGAGAUAGACCCAGGUGUCCUCGCUGCAAAGCAUGACGAACUAGAGAUGAAGUAUCCGCAACAACUUAUGUUCCUGCUAUAUUGAGUUAACAGAAUACUCACAUCUCACAUGGUUCAUUCAUGUUGUAGGCAUAUGUCACGCUCCAGUCGUCAUCUGGACAAUACCAG
rnacentral:lncRNA from 1 species